rnacentral:tRNA from 1 species
GGGAGUUGUCAUGUCUCAGUGCUAGAGCAUCUGCUUGACAUGCAAAAGGGCCCAGGUUCUACCCAUGGUUUUCCCA